rnacentral:rRNA from 1 species
GUGCACCAGUCGCGAAACCUCCGCAAUGCACGCAAGUGCGACGGGGGAACCCCAAGUGCCACUCUUAACGGGGUGGCUUUUCAGAAGUGUAAAAAGCUUCUGGAAUAAGGGCUGGGCAAGACCGGUGCCAGCCGCCGCGGUAACACCGGCAGCUCAAGUGGUAGCCGCUUUUAUUGGGCCUAAAGCGUCCGUAGCCGGUCUGAUAAGUCUCUGGUGAAAUCCCACAGCUUAACUGUGGGAAUUGCUGGAGAUACUAUCAUGACUCGAGGUCGGGAGAGGCUGGAGGUACUCCCAGGGUAGGGGUGAAAUCCUGUAAUCCUGGGAGGACCACCUGUGGCGAAGGCGUCCAGCUGGAACGAACCUGACGGUGAGGGACGAAAGCCAGGGGCGCGAACCGGAUUAGAUACCCCCGUAGUCC